rnacentral:rRNA from 1 species
GACGAACGCUGGCGGCGUGCUUAACACAUGCAAGUCGAACGGAAAGGCCCUGCUUUUGUGGGGUGCUCGAGUGGUGAACGGGUGAGUAACACGUGAGUAACCUGCCCUUGACUUUGGGAUAACUUCAGGAAACUGGGGCUAAUACCGGAUAGGAGCUCCUGCUGCAUGGUGGGGGUUGGAAAGUUUCGGCGGUUGGGGAUGGACUCGCGGCUUAUCAGCUUGUUGGUGGGGUAGUGGCUUACCAAGGCUUUGACGGGUAGCCGGCCUGAGAGGGUGACCGGCCACAUUGGGACUGAGAUACGGCCCAGACUCCUACGGGAGGCAGCAGUGGGGAAUAUUGCACAAUGGGCGGAAGCCUGAUGCAGCAACGCCGCGUGCGGGAUGACGGCCUUCGGGUGGUAAACCGCUUUCGCCUGUGACGAAGCGUGAGUGACGGUAAUGGGUAAGAAGCACCGGCUAACUACGUG